AACGAACGCUGGCGGCAGGCUUAACACAUGCAAGUCGAACGCCCCGCAAGGGGAGUGGCAGACGGGUGAGUAACGCGUGGGAAUCUACCUAGUUCUACGGAACAACACAGGGAAACUUGUGCUAAUACCGUAUACGCCCUACGGGGGAAAGAUUUAUCGGAAUUAGAUGAGCCCGCGUAAGAUUAGCUAGUUGGUGGGGUAAUGGCCUACCAAGGCGACGAUCUUUAGCUGGUCUGAGAGGAUGAUCAGCCACACUGGGACUGAGACACGGCCCAGACUCCUACGGGAGGCAGCAGUGGGGAAUAUUGGACAAUGGGCGAAAGCCUGUUCCAGCCGUGCCGCGUGAGUGAUGAAGGCCUUAGGGUUGUAAAGCUCUUUCAGUAGGGAAGAUAAUGACGGUACCUACAGGAGAAGCCCCGGCUAACUUCGUGCCAGCAGCCGCCGUAAGAC
rnacentral:rRNA from 1 species